UGAGAUAGUAUUGAAGCAUUGGAUGCCUCUUAAGCAGAGGCCAGUGGCCUUACAAUCUCAGUGAUAGACAGAAUCACACUACUAAAAGGAAAAGUAUGACUGACAGUUGGAAAGAACCAACACUGCAAAUUUAUAGUCCUUCAAAAUCACAGUCUUCCACUAGUUUCUCAAAAUAUUUCUCCCAAACAAAGUUGAAAGUAGAUCAGGACAUUCCUAUUGUAACAGAAUCAAAUGGUUUAAAUUCAACAAAGGUUGAUAAAUUAUCUCAAAUAUCUAUUACUUCAGAUAGUGAACAAAAACUGCUCACCCAAAUGAAGCACUACACAGCAGGUGUAUAGACGUUAAAAAUCUUUAAUGCAA
rnacentral:lncRNA from 1 species